CUGACACGAUUUACUCACAUUCAGUUUUAAGCACGGGAAGGCAUAGUUUAUAGCUCCAUUUUUCACCAGGAUACAGGAUAAAAUGGCCAAAGUGAUAUUCGCAAUAAUCUUAUUAAUAUCUGUUGUUUUAAUGGCCGACUGUGAUGAGAACACCUCUAAUGGUUCCAAGCCUGAUUGUACUGGCACAUGCCGCGACCUGUCUGUUAUACCUGAUGUCUUAUGUCCAAUUAAAAAGGACGGUUUUUGUCCAGAGAAAACACCAACGUGCUGUUAUUUUCCUAUGGGGAAUAAUCCGUGAUAAAAUCUACACUGACUUGGUACCUAACAUUAUUUAUAACAAAAUAUAUACUGUAUCUCAAAUGAAAUAAAACGGAGUUCACAUAGUAGA